rnacentral:rRNA from 1 species
AGUCUGACGGAGCAACGCCGCGUGAGUGAUGAAGGUUUUCGGAUCGUAAAACUCUGUUGUUAGGGAAGAACAAGUGCCAUUCGAAUAGGUUGGCACCUUGACGGUACCUAACCAGAAAGCCCCGGCUAACUACGUGCCAGCAGCCGCGGUAAUACGUAGGGGGCAAGCGUUGUCCGGAAUUAUUGGGCGUAAAGCGCGCGCAGGCGGUCCUUUAAGUCUGAUGUGAAAGCCCACGGCUUAACCGUGGAGGGCCAUUGGAAACUGGAGGACUUGAGUACAGAAGAGGAGAGUGGAAUUCCACGUGUAGCGGUGAAAUGCGUAGAGAUGUGGAGGAACACCAGUGGCGAAGGCGACUCUCUGGUCUGUAACUGACGCUGAGGUGCGAAAGCGUGGGUAGCGAACAGGAUUAGAUACCCUGGUAGUCCACGCCGUAAACGAUGAGUGCUAGGUGUUAGGGGGUUUCCGCCCCUUAGUGCUGAAGUUAACGCAUUAAGCACUCCGCCUGG